rnacentral:lncRNA from 1 species
GGAAAUCGUAGUUGUGAACAUCAGGCUUUCUAGAAGUGGCUGUACCAACAUCAGCCUUGAAAGAGCUCAAUCCAGCAGAUCCUGUCCCACUUGGAACCUGGCUAUGAGUGAGAAAACAUCUGUGGUUGGAAAAUGGGGCUGGUGAUUCAGGCCUGUUUGGGAAGAAGAUGCUCUUGAAUGCUUUGCUCAACAAACACCUCCCUUCUGCAAGGAGGCAACCUGUG